rnacentral:rRNA from 1 species
AGAAUCAACGCUGGCGGCGUGCCUAAUACAUGCAAGUCGAACGCGAAGACCCCGCAAGGGGUUGGUAGCGUGGCAAACGGGUGAGUAACGCGUGGGCGACCUGCCUUCGAGUGGGGGAUAACCUUCCGAAAGGGAGGCUAAUACCGCAUGACAUGCCGUGUUUAGAUACACGGACAUCAAAGCCGGGGAUCGCAAGACCUGGCGCUUGAAGAGGGGCCUACGUCCGAUUAGCUAGUUGGUGGGGUAAUGGCUCACCAAGGCGACGAUCGGUA